ACUCAAAGGAAUUGACGGGGGCCCGCACAAGCAGCGGAGCAUGUGGUUUAAUUCGACGCAACGCGAAGAACCUUACCUGGGCUUGACAUGAUUCGGACCGCUCUGGAAACAGGGUUUCCCUUCGGGGCCGUUUCACAGGUGGUGCAUGGCUGUCGUCAGCUCGUGUCGUGAGAUGUUGGGUUAAGUCCCGCAACGAGCGCAACCCCCGUCGCAUGUUGCCAGCAUUUAGUUGGGGACUCAUGCGAGACUGCCGGUGACAAACCGGAGGAAGGUGGGGAUGACGUCAAGUCAUCAUGCCCCUUAUGUCCAGGGCUACACACGUGCUACAUUGGCGCGUACAGAGGGCUGCGAUACCGCGAGGUGGAGCGAAUCCCUUAAAGCGCGUCUCGGUUCGGAUUGCAGGCUGAAACUCGCCUGCAUGAAGGCGGAGUUGCUAGUAAUCGCGGAUCAGCACUGCCGCGGUGAAUACGUUCCCGGGCCUUGUACACACCGCCCGU
rnacentral:rRNA from 1 species